rnacentral:rRNA from 1 species
CGGCGUCACGAGUGGCAAUCACAUUUAUUGGGUCUAAAGCGUUCGUAGCCGGUUUAGUAAAUCUUUUGUGAAAUUGUCGGGCUUAACCUGACAGCGUGCAGAAGACACUGCUAAACUUGAGACCGGGAGGGGUUAGAAGUAUUUCAGGGGGAGCGGUAAAAUGUUAUAAUCCCUGAAAGACUACCAAUGGCGAAGGCAUCUAACCAGAACGGAUCUGACGGUGAGGAACGAAGGCCAGGGGAGCGAACCGGAUUAGAUACCCGAGUAGUCC